CCUACGGGAGGUAGCAGUGAGGAAUAUUGGUCAAUGGCCGGAAGGCUGAACCAGCCAAGCCGCGUGAAGGACGAAGGUGCCAAGCAUUGUAAACUUCUUUUGUCAAGGGACAAAAUCAGGCUCGAGAGCCUGACCGAGGGUACUUGAAGAAAAAGCAUCGGCUAACUCCGUGCCAGCAGCCGCGGUAAUACGGAGGAUGCGAGCAUUAUCCGGAUUUAUUGGGUUUAAAGGGUGCGUAGGCGGGCUGUUAAGUCAGCGGUAAAAGCCCGGGGCUCAACCCCGGCGAGCCGUUGAAACUGGCUGUCGUGAGAUGGCGAGAGGUAUGCGGAAUGCGCAGUGUAGCGGUGAAAUGCUUAGAUAUUGUGCAGAACUCCGAUUGCGAAGGCAGCAUACCGGCGGCGAUCUGACGCUGAGGCACGAAAGCGUGGGUAUCGAACAGGAUUAGAUACCCCAGUAGUC
rnacentral:rRNA from 1 species